CCUAAAGCUGAAGCUCACUCUUUAACCAGCCUUUCUAUAUCUCAUUUCACCUUUUGGUCUAAGCCAGACAGGGCUUCACCAGCAGGUGAGGAGGACUGGUGUUGGCUCCUGCCAACCACGACCAGAGGCAUGAUUCUGCAGACACAUCCCUGCAGUGGGAGAAGGUUCAGACCCAACUGAAGAGGAGUUCCUGAGGUGAAAUGAGCACCCAGGGAAGGAUUUUGUCAGGCUGGAUUAGAAGUUAACAGCAGACACUGCAGCUGAUGAGGGUGGGAGGAUUUUCUAUCUGAGGUUGGCAAGGGUACGCUAACGAGUAUCAUCUGAAUUAGGUAACGAUGUGCUUCCGUGUAGGGUUGCCUAACUCUCUUGCUGUGCUUUCAAGCUGAACAUAUGUUUUCAAUUAUUAACAUGAUUAAUGGGAAUGAGGUGACUUGAAUCCCAAUGAGCUCUAUCCUACCAUUGCAUGCACAGUCCACAAUAUGGUAAUGUUUAUGCAGUGUGGAAGUGCACGAUUUGCUCCACUGGGAGGGCUCUUCAGAGGCACAGGUGCCUAACCCUCAGCAAGUUUAGAGAUCCACCAUUAAAGCCACUUGCUGUAUAAAUUCCUGGGCAGCUCUUUGGUACCAUGACCUGCUCAUGAGCACCCAUGCCCAGAUAGCUCCUGCCUCUGCCUCUCCAGGAGGACAGGGCAUGGAAAUUGCCGUGCAGGAGCCAAUUCAUACGGUACUGUUCUGGUCUGGUGUGGGUUUUGGUCAGGAGCCCCAGAAGAGCUGGAAAUAAGAAACCAUCUUCCUCCCAUCAUCAUCUGGGACAGACUCCAGGAUUUGUAAGUCUCCAGUUCAGCUGAGAUUCUCGACUGUUUCGUGGGGACUCUAAACCUACCUGUCCCUUCUUGGCGGACAAGCUUUGCUAAGGAUGGGAAAAAUCAACUGUGAAUGGAAGUAAAAAGCAUGGAGAGCCAGACUUUGUUGUUGUUAUCCACAACACCUUGCUGUCUGGGUUUGGCUGUCUGUCAUGGCCUGGGGAGGAUAUUCUCCAACCAUAACAAACGCACUGCAGGAGAUGCAAGGAAGAUCUUCAGUCUCUUUACUCGCACCGCUCGCACUCCUGAGGUUGCCAUCCAGUUUUAUGCUCUGUGCUAAUUGCAUUGCUGGGGUUCUGGGGGCCGCGAACAAAAUCAUUUGUAAGAGCCACUGUGAAACAGGGCAAAUCAGCCUGCAUGGUGCUCCUUCCUCCUGCAGCUAAACUGUUUCUCAUAAUUUAAAGUUAUCUCGCACGCGGUGAUACUGCACCACAGUCUGCGGCACACAGCAGAGACCCAGAAAACCAUCGCUCAAGCUACUCCCUGCCACUAAGACAGGGAGCAGGUGAGGGGAUGGUGGCAUCUUCAUUUCCUCGCUGCACAGGCUCUCCCAUGUUCUUGUGCUGCAGGGAGGAACAAGCCUGGUCCUUUCCUCCAGGUAACUGUAAUCUGUUACAGAUCUGUAGUACAGUGGGAGAGGGAGAAUUUGUUUGAGGGGGUGCUGGGUUUUCAGGCUCUGGCAGAGAUAUCUGUUUUACAAAACUCCUUGCCCAGCAGCUUACAGGGGAUGAAGUAGAAUAAUCCUGUGAAAUCCUCACUUCUUGGGUCUGGCAGGCAGGGUUUCAGGUCUCACAGCAGCUGAGGGCUCACACAGUACCUGCACAGCAGCCCAUGGGCCAGGCUGGGGGCUGCAGCAUCCCAGCUGCUCGGGCUCUGUCUUCAGCAGGUAGGGAUUGGAGCCAGAGGGUCUUCAUGGGCACUCAGCUGUACCCAUGCCACAUAGCUGUGAGUAUGUGCAGCGUGCUGGGGAAAGAAGGGGAAAAGCAACCCCCUCACAACACUCACCUACGUAUGAAAACAGGGAGCAGAGUUAGAUGAUGAGAGCGCUCCCAUCUUGUCCACAAGAGCGUGAUCCUGAAUUCAUAACUGCCGAAGUGUUGAAGAGACAGAAAAGCACCUGCAGCUAAGCUUCAGUUGUGUGCAGCUGAAAAUAAAAAGGAGUUGGAUGGAUAAGAUAAGAUUAAGAAAGUUGAGACGCUGGAUGAAACCACUGAGCCUAUGUCCCUGCUCCAAGUGGGAUCAAAUAUACCUGUAGCACUGCCAGAUCUCCUCCUAAAAUCCUCCAGUAGCAGAGAGCUCCCAGUCCCCCUAAGGAUUAGAAGCCAGCCUUGGAUUUUUGGCCAAUAUCUAACUUAAAUCUGCCAUUAUGCAGGGUCUAGUUAAUUCUUUCUUGAGAAGUGUUCAAAGGGAAUAACUGGUCCUUGUCCUUUCUUGGACAAUCUUUCACCUGCUGGUGAACUAUUAUCAAAUCUCCCUUCGGAGCUUCUAGAGGGACCAACCCGAGCUGUUUCUGAUAGGUUACGUUCCCUAAAUCUCUUAUAUUCUUGUUGCUCCUUUUUAAAGUCACCCAGAACUAGAUCCAGUUCUCCAGCUGGGUGAAGACCGGUGCCUUGCAGAGCCGAAUAAAUCCCUGUUGCAUAUGAGGUACUUACAUCCACUCCCACCUUGGUGUCAUCCGCAAAUUUUAUAAGUGCACUCUCCACUCCAUCAUCUCUGAGGAUGGCAAGAAGGUACCAAACCAGAAGGUGCUCAUCCUGCCUUUACCUGAUGCUGUUUUUCCUAUGUGGGGUUGUUUUCAUGCCUGGAGAGCCAAAGGGAAUGAUGAGAUGGAAACUCCCCAUCUUUCCUCUCUCUCCCUUCAUGAGCAAUGAUACGAGCUUGUGGCUGAUCAAAUCCAGCAGCUGAAGUACCAGUGGGAUCCUGAAUGUAUUUGGUGUCCCAUCAAAUUCUUUGAUACAGCUAUACAACAACUCAAUGUUUUAGUGAGUAUCGUUAAAAACCAGCUCUCAUGGGUGUAUUGGGCCUGCUGAUGUUUUCUUGGCUUUUGGAGCAGAAAAUCUAACUAAAAUAAUAAUUGUAAGAACUGCCUCAUUUUUUCCUGUUUAUUAUUGUUACUCAAGCACAUGGUAUGCCUGAAGGUAGGCUGGCCAAGAAAGGAGUGUAGACAAACUAAGAGCAAGCAAACACUAUGGAGAGCCAGCACAGAGCAUCAUGAUCCAGCCCAGGAAAACUCCAGCUGCUGGGUUAAUUAUUGUUAUUUAGUCACAUGCCAGAAAGCAUGUGAUUAAUUGCAGCAAGAAAACGCACUGCCCUUCGUUGACUUUAAAAAGGACUCUGCUUGCCAGGAAGAAAGAUGAAAUUUGCGAAGUUAAUAAGCUGAAAUAGAAACAAGGAAGCGGGAGAUAAAGCUGACAGUGGUUCUGCAGCAGGUGAGGCUUCCCAUUGCAUCCAGCCCCUGCCAAGAUCUCAUCGGAGAGCAGGAAAACCAUGACACCCAAGCACGGAGGAUGCUGCUUUUGUGCUGGCUGAGAUCCUCUAACAGUGGCUUCACAGAGCCCUGGGGAAGGGCAGGAGCCAAGGGAGUUAUUUCUUGAGUUCAGGGUUUCCCCGCGGUGUGUAGGUGUGUGCCUGGCUAGCGUGCUGUGACAUGAGCCCCUUCCUGACGGGAUCCUUGCCUUCAGGUGCGGCGUGCGCAGCUUCGCACCGCUCUGUCCUCUCGUCAGCAGGAGCUCUGGGUCUGAACUGCUCCAGGGCAUGGAGCAGGCGUGAGCCCGAAAGGGCAGAUGACUCAGAGAGAUCAGGCUUUAGGUGCGGAAAUGCCGGGCUUGGCAGAGGCUCUGCUGGUUAGAAGUAGUGCUUCUGUUGGUGCAGUGGGAAGACGCGUCCCUUGUGCUGGGCUGUCCCACCACAAUCAGGAUAUGCCUGUGUGUACCCAAGCAGAAGGCAUGCCCUCUCUUCUCAUUCUCCCCUCCUCUUCUCCCUCUCCCCGGGAAAGCUGGUUCUGUUUUUCCACUUCCACCAGUUUCUCCCUGUCGCAGAGACGUGGCCUUCUGCAGAGUUACUCCCAGUUUACACCAGUGCACGUGAGAUGGCAAUCAAAGUCUCUUUCUCUCAGACUUGAAGAAGGAAUGACCUUGCUGGGGAUUUUCUGAUGCCAAAAAUAUUAUUUUGGUAGUGAAGGCCUCAUUUACACCUGCAUGCACUGGAAGUUUGCAAGUGAAACUAAAAUCAUUAUAUGGCCACCUCUCCAUGUGGUGCAUGUGUCUCUCAGCUCAGCAAUAGUUCGGAAAGCCUGAGACAUCAGUGGAGGAUACUGCAGUAGAAUGAGAAAGGAAAAAAGAUCUUCACCUCAGUUCACAAACCUGCACGCCUUCAGCUUACAGAAACAUGACAGAAAGGUCUUCUGUUUGCUGUUUGCCUUCUUGGAGGAAAACACUUGCUACUCUACCUGAAACUCUUGAAAGAACAAAGGGCAUGGAAAAUACAUGGUCUCUCUGGUGCGAUCGCAGUUUCUCUUUUAAAUUAUUUCGUGUGAUAGGCACUGGGGCCAAGUUCAUUAUGGUUCAGGAGUGUUACACAGAGGGUGGAUCUGGCUACCUCUGCUGGAAGUGGAAUGCUGUAAAAGUAAUUUCUCCUGAUUUGUUGGUUUUGGCCCUCUUUUCAGAAACAAUGUAUUUCGUGAUUUCAACAGAUGAUGAUAAAGGUUUGAAGCCAAAAGGGUCAUAAAGGCUACAAGGGGGUCAAUUUCCUUCCCCUGUGGUGAGUGAGCCUAUUUACUGUCUGUUCCAACGUACUGAAAAAUUAUAUUUGGGAGAAAUCAAUAUACAACUUCUAGAGGGUAUGUGAACCGAAAUAGCUGUGAGCAUCUCUUUUCUUCCUUACAUGAAAUAUGCUCAUGAGUGUGAUACAGAAGACCUGUGUAAUUUGUUAUAAUGACUGUGGGAUCCAAACAACAGUUUACAAAUUGGCAAAUUUGCAAAAGAACAUGAUAAAGUAAUCUGUUUAGUGAUAAUGUGUGCUGUGUGAAAAUACUACUUUUAAUUCCACAAUGUAAAAUAUUCUUGAGCAAUAUCUGGGAGUACAACCUAUAGUGUUGAUAAAAAUGCAUCACUGGGGGUUCUUUGUUUAGCCAUGGUUGUAAUGCAAAAAGCAGGCAUGGUGGUAGGGCAGGAGUGUGUGCAGUGGAGUCCUUCACCAGGCUUGGAGGAGACUCUGGAGGUAAGCACCACUGCUGACAUCAGGCUGGACUGUGCACCAGGAUGGGUAGCAGGGGUAGCUUGCUACAGGCAGCACGCUGGUUUUGAGGCAUGGGCUGCACUGUGUGCAUCUGAGUGGGAGCCAGCACUGUGAACACAGAAGAAUGUGAAGAAUAUAUAUAUAUAUAUAUAUAUAUAUAUAUAAAGUGAAUCAAAACCAUCUGAGCUGUAUUCAGCUUGUCUGCUACGGCACCUCUGGAAGUAACUCACUGUCAGUGAUUUAGGAUGCUUCUCCGGGAAAUGGGAGACCUGCUUUCAGUGGCUUAGGCUGAAAGCACUUUCUUUAACACCUACUGCAAGGGAAGUGGGGAAGAAGUAAGGAGAUGUUUUCCACUUUCCAGCUGAAACUGAAGUAUUGUAUAGCAAGGAAAGGUCUUCUCUGGCUGCCCUGCUGGAUCACGUACAGUCACAGAAGAGAAGCAUUUACAAUACCUAGGUUAAGUACUUGUUAAGCAUCACUUUCUCCCAGCCGUCUGUACAAGAAGCCAGGGUCUGACAUCCUGGGGACCUGGCCAUCUGAAUCACUUACCGUUCUUCUCACUUCAGGUGCUGCACACAGAUAGUCUGAAUAUGGCCCGGUGACUUUGGAAGAAAAAGCUCUAUAUGGCUUCCUUGUACACUCAGCUCCCUUCCUAACACAAUUCUAUCAUUCCUCUUUCCAUUUUAUCUUUCUUUUUUCCCUCAUUCCCUCACAUUUCCUGUGCUUAGCUGAUGAUGGUUCCAAUAGCUAGGAAAGACUUUAUUUAGAGAGAUAAGCAAAAACCGCUUCUGGCAGAACACUUUGACUGGGGGAAAUCUCAUUCUUCGUCUCCAGGAAUCUUACUGUAGGCUAAUUUAGCAUCAGUUUCUGUGCUUUGUUAUAUCACAGAUAGAUAGCCUCACAUUACUUGACUGUAGCCUUACUGAUCUGGAUUAUGAGUUUGAACAGAUAAAGCACCAACUGAGAUUACAGAGCCAUUGUGUGAUGUGUUCAUAUUCAUCUUUGUCGCUCAAAAAUAGGCUGCUGUACUAUGCAUUAGCACUCAGUAUUUACCCCUAGACUCAAAUGCCUUACAUUGCUAUGGCUGCACACCACCACGAUGCAGUCGUGCUGGAGAGGAGAGGAUGGAAUUUCCUGCCCUGUCUCAGACCAUAGAUCAUCAGUCUUUACCACUCCUGGCAGCAGUGAGGAAUCCGGCAUGACCUUAAGAAUUCAGAUAAAUGCAGCGAACAGGGAUCAAAUUACCUCAAUCAAAGGUGAGGUCAUUGUUUCAGCAAGGCUCUCUCCACAGCUGAUUCUCUCUUCCAUCUAUCAUCACCCCCCUGUGAGAGAUGCUUCUGAGCCAUAUCACAUUUUGAAAUCUGAUCAUCAGCCUCCAGAAUGCCACAAGAGGUUUGUUUUGUGCUGCUGAAGUUCAGUGCAACCCGCUAAGUGACUCAGCUCAGGAAGAAUCGCUGGCAGUGGGACAGUAGUUUGUGCUGGCUGCUGCCAUCUUUAGCAGGAGGCCGACCAAAGGCUGAGUUGUUCUUUCUUUGUCUUCACCACCCUAGGAAAAGGAUCCGUUUCCUCUGUUCAUAAAACCAAAAAACUGCAAGGAAUGUUGAACCUUCAACUUUAAUAGGGAGGAAGGACUUCCAGAUUUGGAUCGUUUGCCUUGGGAGCACAUGGGCUUAAGCUGAUCCUGGAAGCCUGUGAAAGAAAAUACGGCAUUUGCUGUAUCUGCAUUGCGUGACAUAAUGCGUCGAUUGAUCUCUGGUGGGGAAACAGCAUAAAAAAAAAAACCCUGCUACCAGGGGAAAGAGUCCUUGCUUCGUGCUUUAAAACCAAAGAUGCUGCCUUAUCAAUAUCGAAGUCUGGGAUGAGGUAACUUUAGCUCUAACAGGCCCGAACGCAUUCAGACCUUGCACGGCACGCUCCGUGGUCAGGCAGGAUGACACACACUUUUCAAGGUAAAAUGCGCAUGAUACAGUAUUUGCUACUUGGGGUUUUAACAGCUCAAAUAACACUCUUGGAGGGUUGAAAGAUUUUCUGGAAGUGAGCCACUCUAGAAUGCUAUUGCCAGCACGUCUGCCUACUCUGGGUAGCAUCAGAAACUGUGCUGAAAAAUUAAACAAACAUAGUUCUUGGCAUCUAAACAGAUGGGAAAGGACAUGUUGACUCCCAAGUCUUUAGCUGAGGAGGUAGGCUGUUUCUCAUUGUUACCACUGUGCAGUGAGGAAUUGCAAAACACCCACAUAGAUUUUCAGACCUGCUAGCUGCACUUAACCUUUAAUCCUGCAAGUACUCAGCCAUGAGCAUAUAAUUUUAAACAUCUGAGUAGUCCGACUGACUCCGAUGGGAAUAUGCACUGAAUGAAGUUAAACAUUUGCAUAAAUGUUUGCAGGAUCAGGAUCUUUCGCUACAAACGCAAUUCUUUCAAUACAAACACAAGCGCAGCUCAGGCUGGGUAUUCAGCCCAAGCUCUCAAUGUACUAAUAAACCUAUAUCCCUGCAGAUGUAUUUUAAAUUUCAUGCUAAUGUGUGGUUCCUGUGUCAUAACACAUCUUGCUAAUGAGUUUCUUGAGAGAGGAGUGAUAUACUUUCUGACAUAACCGCAUGGUUUUGAAAAACUAUAAUCUGCAAUGGAUCAGUAACACAUCAGCUUCUGUAUAUCAAAGAGGUUCCAGACAGCAUGAUUGGAAUUGGGGCCUUUUAAAGUCUUUCAAACCUAUUUUCUGAGUUUUAGUCCUGAUCUGAAAAUCCUCAUUCCUGUCUUUCCAAGUGCAAGAUUGCUUGCAUGAGUAAGGAACUGACUCACUUAUUCCUAAAGGUGAGGACUACUUUCCGUUCCCACUGCUGGAGGAUUCAUUUACCUCUGAGUAGGUCCUUUAAUUCCAGAAAAGGAUGAGCAAUUUUUGUGCUCUUUACUUACAAGAAAAUGAACACUGACACCCUGAACUAGACUCUGAUCUGGGCUGUACCUGUUUUUAUGCCUGCUCUCAAACGAAUACAGCGAGCUAACCUCUGGUUUGCAGCCUAGCCUAACUGGAUCAGAAUUUAGCCUAUUGAAUCUAGGUGUCCGCAUUACAGAUCAAAGGAAAAGUUUUGAUGAUUCCUUCUGCAAAUGUCACCCCUAUUUGCACUCUCACAUGAUUGAUCUCUCUUUUGUUUAAAGUGCUGUGGUUGAUACAGAAACAUUUAUAAUCUGUGAUUCAUUCUAGCAAUGCUGCUCUUAAAAUAUGCUAAUAUUUUCUUCUGAAAUGCACUGGAAAAAAAAACAUUUUAAAAAAAUGUCUUUUUUUUUUUUCUUGACUUCCUUGCUUUAAUUGAAAUGGUUGGGUUGAUUUUUUUUUUUUUCAGUUUUGCUUUGCUGACUAAACAUGUUAAGACUUUUGAGGCAAAGAAGUAUGUGCAUGCGAAUGUGGCGUAACAGAACAGGCAGCUUUUCCUAGAGUUAAAGCUAUAUAACAUUUUCCAUUCUAAACUUCUGUGCUUCCUGUGGUCUCUGAAAUAAAAAUACUUCAGGAUGAAAUCUUCUGGCUUUGGACUUUGUCCAAAUGUGAAUAUUUUGGAAGGAUCUGAACGAAACUGGUUCAGCCAGUUCAGAAUAUCAGAAGAGUCAAAGACAACAACAAUUAAAAAGUGUUCUUUCAGCUAAAUAGAUCCUUACGGCCUUUCUUGAGCAUUUCUGCAACUUUAUCAGCAGACGGCUGACAAGUGAACUCUGACACGGA